AGAAGAACUACAAUGAAUUAUGUCACAAAAAAAUAAGUUUUUUGUUUGUACAUUUUCAUUUAGAAGUUGUUUUGUACAUCAGCCAUCUACACCUUCUUGCUACCAAGCUGCUCUGCUGUGUUGCUACUUUUUGUAGCUAUAUAGUAUGGAACUCCCUGAUAACUUGCUCUUGAACUACUAAAUGUUAUGUAAACAAAACUGGAUGAUCU
rnacentral:misc_RNA from 1 species